rnacentral:rRNA from 1 species
AGACUCUGUGCGCGUGCAUAUCAAUAAGCGGAGGAAAAGAAACUAACAAGGAUUCCCUUAGUAACGGCGAGUGAAGCGGGAAGAGCUCAAAUUUGAAAUCUUCAAGGGUUUACCUUUACGAAUUGUAGUUUAAAGAAGUGUUUUCUGUUGGAGUUUUGGUAAAAGUUCUUUGGAAUAGGACAUCAUAGAGGGUGAGAAUCCCGUAUUUGUACAGUUCCUCCUAGCUGUUGUGAUACACUUUCAACGAGUCGGAUUGUUUGGGAAUGCAGUCCAAAAUGGGUGGUAAAUUUCAUCUAAAGCUAAAUAUUGGCGAGAGACCGAUAGCGAACAAGUACCGUGAGGGAAAGAUGAAAAGAACUUUGAAAAGAGAGUUAAACAGUACGUGAAAUUGUCAAAAGGGAAGCGUUUGACACCAGUGUUGUUUAGUUCGAAAAUCAAUUACUAAUUUUUGAUUUUAAGUAGUUAUGACUUCAUCAGCUUGCUGCUUUCUUCUCAGAAAAUUAUUGAAUGCACUUUUCAGUUAACAAGUCAACAUCAAUUUCUUUUGUUGUAAAAGGGUAAGAGGAAGGUGGCUUGCGCUUCGGCUCAAGUGUUUAUAGCCUUUUAUCUCUGCAAUCGGAGAGAUUGAGGUCUGCAGCGUAGAUCCUUCGGGGUUAGAUACACUUGUGCUAAGCUAUAGCCUUGUAUAGACAACUUGUUGACUAUGCUCAGUCAUGUAGCUUACUCGCUGAUGCUAUUUUACCUACGCUUAGGAUGUUGAAGUCAUCGUAUCGCGC